rnacentral:rRNA from 1 species
GACGUAGGGGGCCAGCGUUGUUCGGAAUUACUGGGUGUAAAGGGUUCGUAGGCGGUGCGGCAAGUUGGGAGUGAAAUCUCUGGGCUUAACCCAGAGGCUGCUUCCAAACUGCUGUGCUUGAGUGUGGGAGAGGCGCGGUGGAAUUGACAGGUGUAGCGGUGAAAUGCGUAGAUAUCUGCAGGAACACCCGUGGCGAAAGCGGCGCGCUGGACCACUACUGACGCUGAGGAACGAAAGCUAGGGGAGCAAACAGG